CUCUCCUCCUCCUCUUCUGUCUCUCCUCUCCUCCUCCUCUUCUGUCUCUCCUCUCCUUCUCCUCUUCUGUCUCUCCUCUCCUCCUCCUCUUCUGUCUCUCCUCUCCUUCUCCUCUUCUGUCUCCUCUCCUCCUCCUCUUCUGUCUCUCCUCUCCUCCUCCUCUUCUGUCUCUCCUCUCCUCCUCCUCUUCUGUCUCUCCUCUCCUUCUCCUCUUCUGUCUCUCCUCUCCUUCUCCUCUUCUGUCUCUCCUCUCCUCCUCCCCUUCUGUCUCUCCUCUCCUUCUCCUCUUCUGUCUCCUCUCCUCCUCCUCUUCUGUCUCUCCUCUCCUCCUCCUCUUCUGUCUCUCCUCUCCUUCUCCUCUUCUGUCUCUCCUCUCCCCCUACUCUUCUGUCUCUCCUCUCCUCCUACUCAUCUGUCUCCCCUCUCCUCCUCCUCUUUCUCUCUGCAGGUGCUGCUGGUUCAGGCCAUCAGGCCAGAUAGACUACAGAGUGCAAUGGCUGCCUUCACCUCGCAGGCCCUUGGAGCAUUACUUCUCUGGCUUACUGCUGAGGUCCAUCCCAAGUUCCCCCCCAUCCUGCUGCAGUCGAGCUUCAAGAUCACCUAUGAGGUGCUCUAGUACCUACAGGAACCCCAACAGCUUGUAAACUACAUCCUCCAGGAACCCCAGAACUUAAUAAACAACAUCAUCCAGGAAACCCAGCACUUUAUAAACUACAUCCCACUGGAAUCCCAACACUUUAUAAACUACAUCCCCCAGGUACCCCUGCAACAUAUAAAAUACAUCCCGCAGGGAAUAAAGUGCUCACCCCUAUGUAAACAUCCCAGUGCCACGAUUGAUGACCUACUACAGCUCCCAUCAUGCCCUGGGACUGUUGUGGCCCACUAAAGCAGCCCCACUGUGUUUACAGUGUGUGUAUAACCUGACCCUUUAGAAACAUGCUCUCUGUGUCUUUGUGGUCUCUGCGGUCACACAGCCAUUAGCAGAGCCUGGGAAUGUUGUCCGUGUGCUCAUAAAGAACACUAGCGUGCUUCUACUCUCCAGUCUACAGAGAGAUGUUACCCUCUCACUGCUCCCUUGUGCUCUGUAGCAGCUUAACCAGCUACAGCUUGUUAACAGCAGUACGCUCAGGACCAGCACACUCAGGACCAUGAGCUGCCUCAUUUACAACCACCCCUCAUGCUAGCUAAUACACAAUUAAACACACACAUACUCCUAGCUGAAGUGUUCCCACGUACACACAUACUUACGCACAGGGCAGUAGGAAAAGCACUAUGGAGAGCCAUGAUGAUAACAAGCAAAAAUUAAAACAGGAAGCACCAGUGACUAGAUCAAUAAAAAAGUGGUCAGAUGAAGCAGAUGCUAAGCUACAGGACUGUCUCAGACUGGAAUAUGUUCUGGGAUUCCUCCAAUGGCAUUGAGGAGUACAUCACAUCUGUCAUUGGCUUCAUCAAUAAGUGCUUCGAUGACAUCGUCCCCACAGUGACCGUACGUACAUACCCCAACCAGAAGCCAUGGAUUACAGGCAGCAUCCGCGCUGAGCUAAAUGCAAGCUAAAAGCUGCCCCUUUCAAGGAGCGGGCCUCUAACCCAGAAGCUUAUAAGAAAUCCUGCUAUUCCCUCCGAACCAUCAAACAGGCAAAGCAUCAAUACAGGGCUAAGAUCGAGUCGUACUCCGACGCUCGUCAAUUGUGGCAGGGCCUGCAAACCAUUACAGACUAGAAAGGGAAGCACAGCUGAGAGCUGCCCAAUGACACAACCUUUAGAUGGGUCAACAUUCACAAGGCCGCAGGGACAGAUGGAUUAACAGAACAUGUACUGCGAGCAUGCACUGACCAACUAGAAAGUGUCUUCACUGACAUUUUCAAACUCUCCCUGUCUGAGUCUGUAAUACCAACAUAUUUUAAGCAGACCACCAUAGUGCCUGUGGCCAAGAAAACUAAGGUAACUUGCCUAAAUGACUACCGACCUGUAGCACUCACAUGUAUAGCCAUGAAGUGCUUUGAAAGGCUGGUCAUGGCUCACAUCAACACCAUCAUCCCAGAAACCCUAGACCCACUCAAAUUUGCAUAUUGCCCCAACAGAUCCACAGAUGAUGCAGUCUCUAUUGCACUUGUUGGGGAAUAAUCAGAAUUGGUGGGUAACAUAGAUAAGAUGUUUUAUUUUCAUGAUAUGCUUAUGAGUUAUUUCUCAUAAGAAUGUAUUUUGUUGUACUAUAGUGGUGGCCAUUGGCAGUUAUCUGUUCUCUGUCAGGACUAAGUUGUUUGGGCGGCAGAGAGGGGAGAGGUCAAGGUGUCAUCAUGUGUAAACAUAUCUGUUGCUCCACUGUGUCUGUGUGCCAGUCACUCCCUACUUUUCCCAUCGGGGAGAGGAGGAUGGCAGUGUCUGGAAUCAUUCUAUGCUGCCCGUGAGCUUGUCCAGGAUUGGUUGUAUUUAGAAUUGGUUGUAUCUAAAUGACAAUUGGAUAUAUGCCUGUUGAUAUGGAGGAUUGGGUUAUAGUGCUGGGUUUGAGUAAGGAGACAAAGCUGAACAAUUUAUUAUGUUUAUGCUGUCUGACUAUGUGUGUUUUUUGCUAUUAAUUAAAGGAUCUCAGUUGCAAUGUAGUGGGGCUCUCAGAGAAUUCAUUGAUAGACACUGAAUUGAUCUGAGAGUCACAGGGUUGUGAUAGAGCUCAUAUAAUUAAAGAUGGA